rnacentral:rRNA from 1 species
ACGCACGCUGGCGGCGUGCUUAACCCCUGCCAGUCGAACGGAAAGGCCCUGCUUUUGUGGGGUGCUCGAGUGGCGAACGGGUGAGUAACACGUGAGUAACCUGCCCUUGACUUUGGGAUAACUUCAGGAAACUGGGGCUAAUACCGGAUAGGAGCUCCUGCUGCAUGGUGGGGGUUGGAAAGUUUCGGCGGUUGGGGAUGGACUCGCGGCUUAUCAGCUUGUUGGUGGGGUAGUGGCUUACCAAGGCUUUGACGGGUAGCCGGCCUGAGAGGGUGACCGGCCACAUUGGGACUGAGAUACGGCCCAGACUCCUACGAGAGGCAGCAGUGGGGAAUAUUGCACAAUGGGCGGAAGCCUGAUGCAGCAACGCCGCGUGCGGGAUGACGGCCUUCGGGUUGUAAACCGCUUUCGCCUGUGACGAAGCGUGAGUGACGGUAAUGGGUAAAGAAGCACCGGCUAACUACGUG